UACGGAAGGGGCAAGCGUUGUUCGGAAUCAUUGGGCGUAAAGGGCGCGUAGGUGGUUCUGUAUGUCUACCGUGAAAGCAUACAGCUCAACUGUAUUUUGUCGGUAGAAACUGCAGGACUUGAGGCUGGGAGGGGCUGGUGGAAUUCCCUGUGUAGCGGUGAAAUGCGUAGAGAUGGGGGAGAACACUCGUGGCGAAGGCGGCCAGCCAGACCAGUUCUGACACUGAGGCGCGACAGCGUGGGGAGCAAACAGG
rnacentral:rRNA from 1 species